AUUGAACGCUGGCGGCAGGCCUAACACAUGCAAGUCGAGCGGAUGAAGGGAGCUUGCUCCUGGAUUCAGCGGCGGACGGGUGAGUAAUGCCUAGGAAUCUGCCUGGUAGUGGGGGAUAACGUCCGGAAACGGGCGCUAAUACCGCAUACGUCCUGAGGGAGAAAGUGGGGGAUCUUCGGACCUCACGCUAUCAGAUGAUCCUAGGUCGGAUUAGCUAGUUGGUGGGGUAAAGGCCUACCAAGGCGACGAUCCGUAACUGGUCUGAGAGGAUGAUCAGUCAAACUGGAACUGAGACACGGUCCAGACUCCUAAGGGAGGCAGCAGUGGGGAAUAUUGGACAAUGGGCGAAAGCCUGAUCCAGCCAUGCCGCGUGUGUGAAGAAGGUCUUCGGAUUGUAAAGCACUUUAAGUUGGGAGGAAGGGCAGUAAGUUAAUACCUUGCUGUUUUGACGUUACCAACAGAAUAAGCACCGGCUAACUUCGUG
rnacentral:rRNA from 1 species